ACCUGGCUAGCUCAGUCCAUAUAGAGCAUGAGACUUUUGAUCUCUCGGGGCCAUGAGUUCAAGCCUCAUGUUGGUG
rnacentral:tRNA from 1 species